rnacentral:pre_miRNA from 1 species
AACUGCAAGUACUGACCGUCUUGCAGUUAAAAACUGCAAGACGGUCAGUACAAAAACUGCAAGACGGUCAGUACUUGCAGUUU